GACGAACGCUGGCGGCGUGCUUAACACAUGCAAGUCGAACGGAAAGGCCCUGCUUUUGUGGGGCGCUCGAGUGGCGAACGGGUGAGUAACACGUGAGUAACCUGUCCUUAUCUUUGGGAUAACUUCAGGAAAAUGGGGCUAAUACCGGAUAGGAGCUCCUGCUGCAUGGGGUUGGUUGGAAAAUUUCGGCGGUUGGGGAUGGACUCGCGGGUUAUCAGCUUGAUGGUGAGGUAGGGGCUGACAAAGGGUUUGACGGGUAGCCGGCAUGAGAGGGUGACCGGCCACAUUGGGACUGCGAUACGGCCCAGACGCCUACGGGAGGCAGCAGUGGGGAACAUGGCACAACGGGGGGAAGCCUGAUGCAGCAACGCUGGGUGCGGGAUGACCGGCUUCGGGGUGUAAACAGCUGUCGCCUGUGACGAAGCGUGAGUGACGGUAAUGGGUAAAGAAGCACCGGCUAACUACGUG
rnacentral:rRNA from 1 species